rnacentral:rRNA from 1 species
UACGUAGGAGACGAGCGUUGUCCGGAAUCACUGGGCGUAAGGCGCGUGUAGGCGGAUGAGCAAGUCUGCUGUGAAAGCUCCUGGCUUAACCGGGAGUGGUCGGUGGAAACUGCACGGCUAGAGUACGGAAGAGGCGAGUGGAAUUCCUGGUGUAGCGGUGGAAUGCGCAGAUAUCAGGAGGAACACCAAUAGCGAAGGCAGCUCGCUGGGACGUUACUGACACUUGAGGCGCGAAAAGCGUGGGGGAGCGAACAGG